AAAGCCUCUAAGCAUCAGGUAACAUCAAAUCGUACCCCAAACCGACACAGGUGGUCAGGUAGAGAAUACCAAGGCGCUUGAGAGAACUCGGGUGAAGGAACUAGGCAAAAUGGUGCCGUAACUUCGGGAGAAGGCACGCUGAUAUGUAGGUGAAGUCCCUCGCGGAUGGAGCUGAAAUCAGUCGAAGAUACCAGCUGGCUGCAACUGUUUAUUAAAAACACAGCACUGUGCAAACACGAAAGUGGACGUAUACGGUGUGACGCCUGCCCGGUGCCGGAAGGUUAAUUGAUGGGGUUAGCGGUAACGCGAAGCUCUUGAUCGAAGCCCCGGUAAACGGCGGCCGUAACUAUAACGGUCCUAAGGUAGCGAAAUUCCUUGUCGGGUAAGUUCCGACCUGCACGAAUGGCGUAAUGAUGGCCAGGCUGUCUCCACCCGAGACUCAGUGAAAUUGAACUCGCUGUGAAGAUGCAGUGUACCCGCGGCAAGACGGAAAGACCCCGUGAACCUUUACUAUAGCUUGACACUGAACAUUGAGCCUUGAUGUGUAGGAUAGGUGGGAGGCUUUGAAGUGUGGACGCCAGUCUGCAUGGAGCCGACCUUGAAAUACCACCCUUUAAUGUUUGAUGUUCUAACGUUGGCCCGUAAUCCGGGUUGCGGACAGUGUCUGGUGGGUAGUUUGACUGGGGCGGUCUCCUCCUAAAGAGUAACGGAGGAGCACGAAGGUUGGCUAAUCCUGGUCGGACAUCAGGAGGUUAGUGCAAUGGCAUAAGCCAGCUUGACUGCGAGCGUGACGGCGCGAGCAGGUGCGAAAGCAGGUCAUAGUGAUCCGGUGGUUCUGAAUGGAAGGGCCAUCGCUCAACGGAUAAAAGGUACUCCGGGGAUAACAGGCUGAUACCGCCCAAGAGUUCAUAUCGACGGCGGUGUUUGGCACCUCGAUGUCGGCUCAUCACAUCCUGGGGCUGAAGUAGGUCCCAAGGGUAUGGCUGUUCGCCAUUUAAAGUGGUACGCGAGCUGGGUUUAGAACGUCGUGAGACAGUUCGGUCCCUAUCUGCCGUGGGCGCUGGAGAACUGAGGGGGGCUGCUCCUAGUACGAGAGGACCGGAGUGGACGCAUCACUGGUGUUCGGGUUGUCAUGCCAAUGGCACUGCCCGGUAGCUAAAUGCGGAAGAGAUAAGUGCUGAAAGCAUCUAAGCACGAAACUUGCCCCGAGAUGAGUUCUCCCUGAGACUUAGAGUCUCCUGAAGGAACGUUGAAGACGACGACGUUGAUAGGCCGGGUGUGUAAGCGCAGCGAUGCGUUGAGCUAACCGGUACUAAUGAACCGUGAGGCUUAACCUU
rnacentral:rRNA from 1 species